AGUCACCCUCAACAGGUAGAAUUAUCCUAUUACAGAUAGAAAUUCUGGUCCAAUUGUCUGGGCCACCUAAAGCCCCAACUGGGUCAGCUGCAGAAGCUCAGGAAAGCUUUCCUGGGCUGCCACUCAGAGAAAGGCACUCUCAUGUGGGAAACCAGAGGGCCAGUGCUUUGUGUGUCUGAAAAACGAAGCUGAAGCCCACAUCAGGCUUAGGAUGUCUGCAAAGAGCCAGUUCUGGCUUGUUCAUACAAUCCCAGUUGUGAACACCAGGGGGCCACCUUGAGUCUUGAGACAUAAACAUGGGCCACAAAAGGAAGAGGGAUUUUCUUAACUUUGUCUUGAGAGAAUGUUAAUAGGCUCGUGGGACUUAUUACCUAGGGCAGGCUGGGAUCAAGUGAUUGAUUUAUGGAUUGAUUGACAGUCACUUGCCCAACAGAUACUUAUCGAGGACCUGCUAUAUAUCGCUCUGCAGUGCCCUGAGGGUUCGAGGUCUUGGACUUGCUACUAACCUACCAGAAAUACUAUUUUCAUGGCUCUGGCUAUGAACAUCAGCAUAUAGAGGAUGGAUCACUACCAAAGAAGGCACCCAAAUGUGUCCGUCUCAUCCUGAGGAAACCCACUCAUCUGUACAUGUACUCAGCAAGUGUUUGCUGGCACCUGCUCUGAGUCACAGGGUGUGCUGGGUACUGGAUGCUCAGAGAUGUGGAAGGAGGCUGGACUUUCAAGCUAAAAGAAGGGGCCAUUUCUCUCUGUUCCUGUCCUGAAAAGCCAAAGAAGUUUAAGAUGAAGAGCUCUCUUCAGAAAUCAGUGAGGCCAGCAGACUGGGGACAAAGAGGGCCAGAAUUUGAUUACCUCUUUUAAAGAGUUGGCCAGGAACAAAGCUGGAAAAGAACGUCUUGGGAGACAGACUCUGUUGGCAACAAGAGGAGAUAUUUCACCUUGAAUUCACGUAUCAGGAGUUCAUUCACUCAUUCUACAUCUUCAUUGAGAAUUUACCAUGGACCAGACCCCAGGGUAGGAUCUAAAAAUGUUCAUCGUGACCCAAAUGGACACAGACCCUGCCCUCACAAAGUGUAAGUAGGGUGGACAGAUAUUAACUGAAUAACCUUAAUGUUAUAUAAUUUGUGCUACGGAAAUAUCUAGGUUAACAUUGAGAGCCACAGAAAAGGCUUGCUGCAACCCAUCCUGAUUUCAGGUUGGUUCCAACAAGCCCUGCUACCUCCUCUGGUGCCCAGCCUUCCAAAACACCCUAUGGAGGAUAAGGCUAAGGGAGGGGACAGCCUCUUGAAAUGACAGCCUCUUGAAUUUCAGGUUGGAAAGCAGGCCUGGUUCCAGCAAGCCUCACCUUUCCCUUUGUCGGCUCAGCAAGCUUUCCUUGCAGUUCCACUCAACUGAAGGUAUACAAAGAAGGGAGCCACAUACUGGGGCAGCCUCCAAUCUGGACAAGACUUGGUGCUCAUCUUCCAGGAGCUCACCACAAACAGGACAGACAGAACCAGGCACACGGAACUCUGGAUUGAGACAGGCUAGGGUAGAUGUUAUCAUAAAAGUCUAGUCUGAGUGCUAGGAGAGAUUGGGAAGGCCAAGGCGAAUCUGGCAUGUGCGAUGUAGAAAGAUUUCUCUGAAGAGGCAGCAUUUGAGUAGGGUCUUGAAGACUUCAUCUAAUCUUGACAGCCCUACUACAUCUUCUUGGUGCCCAGUAUUUCAGAAGAAAUCCUGUGGAGGAUAAAGUUAGAGGAGGGGCUACCUGCCUGAAAAGACAUCUGACUCCAUGGAGAUCCAGUGUCAGGAACAGUGCGGGGACCAGAUGCUGCAGCAAUUGCACCUGUGUGUAUAGGUCCUUGGGGGCUGCUGAGGGUACAUACAAAAUCAACCCUUUUCCUUUGUGAUCUGCCUCUAGCUUUGGCCUUUUGGGUAAACCUGACCCCUAUUUUUCCUAUUCACUCCUGAAUGUUCAGUACUUGCUCAAGAGGCAUUUGAGUCUGCUCAGUCUCCAUUCUUGGUAUGUGACUACACUUCAUCAUUCCAGCUUAGCCCAUCACCAGUUACUAGCCUUCACCUGGCCAUUCUUCCCCCAGCUCUUAAUUCAUCAGGCUGGGUGAGUAUACAACAUAUACAAGGGCACUAGUCAAGAUACAC
rnacentral:lncRNA from 1 species